UCAAUAAAAAUAGCGUCUAAGCAAGGUUAUUAAAAAUAACUUUUUACAUAAUCACCUCCAACAAACUAAAGAACAAUCCUAUGUGUAUAGGAACACUAAUGCUAAAACUACUAAUAUGGGACUAUCCCUCAUCAAAGCACACCUCUAUUUCAUGUACUUGAUAACUAACAGACCAUAAAAGGUGGGGAAAAUACUCUUCACUAUUCCCACCACACUGUAAGCUCAACUCUGAUGUGCAGAAAUAAAAUUUAAAGUCUCAAAAGGAACUCGGCAAACACUAACCCCAACUGUUUACCAAAAACAUAGCCUUUAGCCCCACAAGUAUUAAAGGUACUGCCUGCCCAGUGAAUCUUCUUUUAACGGCCGCGGUAUCCUAACCGUGCAAAGGUAGCGAAAUCAUUUGUCUACUAAUUAUAGACCAGUAUGAAGGGCCACAUGAGGGUUUAACUGUCUCCUGAGACAAAUUUAUAAAACUGAUCUUCCAGUUCAAAAGCUGGGAUUCUAACAUAAGACGAGAAGACCCUGUGAAGCUUAAAAAACCCCAUUAACACAGGUAAUGGGUACUUUUAGUUGGGGCAACUUUGGAAAACAAGCCAACCUCCAAACAUCCAAAAAGACUGACAAGUCAAUAACGACCCAGUAUAACUGAAAAAUGGACCAAGUUACUCCAGGGAUAACAGCGCAAUCUUCUUCAAGAGCCCAUAUCUAAAAGAGGGUUUACGACCUCGAUGUUGGAUCAGGACACCCAAGCGGUGCAGUAGCUGCUAAAGGUUCGUUUGUUCAACGAUUAAAGUCCU
rnacentral:rRNA from 1 species